rnacentral:rRNA from 1 species
GAUGAACGCUGGCGGCGUGCCUAAUACAUGCAAGUCGAGCGAACGGACGAGAAGCUUGCUUCUCUGAUGUUAGCGGCGGACGGGUGAGUAACACAUGGAUAACCUACCUAUAAGACUGGGAUAACUUCGGGAAACCGGAGCUAAUACCGGAUAAUAUUUUGAACCGCAUGGUUCAAAAGUGAAAGACGGUCUUGCUGUCACUUAUAGAUGGAUCCGCGCUGCAUUAGCUAGUUGGUAAGGUAACGGCUUACCAAGGCAACGAUGCAUAGCCGACCUGAGAGGGUGAUCGGCCACACUGGAACUGAGACACGGUCCAGACUCCUACGGGAGUCAGCAGUAGGGAAUCUUCCGCAAUGGGCGAAAGCCUGACGGAGCAACGCCGCGUGAGUGAUGAAGGUCUUCGGAUCGUAAAACUCUGUUAUUAGGGAAGAACAUAUGUGUAAGUAACUGUGCACAUCUUGACGGUACCUAAUCAGAAAGCCACGGCUAACUACGUG